UACCGGCGGCUCGAGUGGUGGCCACUAUUACUGGGCUUAAAGCGUCCGUAGCUUGGUUGUUAAGUCUCCUGGGAAAUCCAUCGGCUCAACCGAUGGGCGUUCAGGAGAUACUGGCAACCUAGGGACCGGGAGAGGUGAGAGGUACUCCAGGGGUAGGAGUGAAAUCCUGUAAUCCUUGGGGGACCACCUGUGGCGAAGGCGUCUCACUAGAACGGCUCCGACAGUGAGGGACGAAAGCUGGGGGAGCAAACCGGAUUAGAUACCCGGGUAGUCCCAGCUGUAAACGAUGCGCGUUAGGUGUAUCGGUGACCACGAGUCACCGAGGUGCCGAAGAGAAAUCGUGAAACGUGCCGCCUGGGAAGUACGGUCGCAAGGCUGAAACUUAAAGGAAUUGGCGGGGGAGCACCACAACAGGUGGAGCCUGCGGUUUAAUCGGACUCAACGCCGGGAAGCUCACCGGAUAAGACAGCUGAAUGAUAGCCGGGUUGAAGACUCUGCUUGACUAGCU
rnacentral:rRNA from 1 species